rnacentral:rRNA from 1 species
GACGAACGCUGGCGGCGUGCUUAACACAUGCAAGUCGAACGGAAAGGCCCUGCUUUUGUGGGGUGCUCGAGUGGCGAACGGGUGAGUAACACGUGAGUAACCUGCCCUUGACUUUGGGAUAACUUCAGGAAACUGGGGCUAAUACCGGAUAGGAGCUCCUGCUGCAUGGUGGGGGUUGGAAAGCUUCGGCGGUUGGGGAUGGACUCGCGGCUUAUCAGCUUGUUGGUGGGGUAGUGGCUUGCCAAGGCUUUGACGGGUAGCCGGCCUGAGAGGGUGACCGGCCACAUUGGGACUGAGAUACGGCCCAGACUCCUACGGGAGGCAGCAGUGGGGAAUAUUGCACAAUGGGCGGAAGCCUGAUGCAGCAACGCCGCGUGCGGGAUGACGGCCUUCGGGUUGUAAACCGCUUUCGCCUGUGACGAAGCGUGAGUGACGGUAAUGGGUAAAGAAGCACCGGCUAACUACGUGCCAGCCGCCGCAGUAA